GGAAGGAAGCUCACUGUAGAGGUCAUGUGCCGAGUACAUUUGUUACUCUCUCACCUUGGGGAAGGUCUGAGACAAGAGCCGUUUCUGUCCUUGCAGGACAUCUUCCGAGCCGGGAGAGCGAGCUCCCAGACACUCGGUGCAUGGAGGGGUUUGCACAAGAUGCUAGUUAGUAGUUGGUGGCUUGAUACUGCCUUCCCUGGACUAGUUGAUGCCUAUUCAUCUGGGCAUUGGAAGUGGCUUGUGGCUAGCAUGGCACUGAGUCCAAUGGAUGAGGUGAGGCAACUGUGCCUCAUAACCCAAUUCAGACCACUCUCCGGAAUUCC
rnacentral:RNase_P_RNA from 13 species